rnacentral:tRNA from 1 species
GGGGAUUUGGCUCAGAGUAGAGCACUUGCCUAGCAAGUGCAAGGCCCUGGGUUCGAUCCCCAGCUCCG